GUGAGGGGCGGGUGCGUGGGGUGGGCGCCGGUCGGGUGGGCGGAUGGGGCGGUGCCCGCUCGGAGCUGCCGCCGCGGGGUACUCACGUCCCACCUGCGGAAGGUGGGGCUAGCUCUGGAGGAGUUCCUUGGUGGCCUUGAGGACCUCAGACUUAACCCGGCCGCUGGAGCCAUCCCGGCGGACUGGAAGUGCACGGGCUAGGAGAGCAAGAAGGACGUGACAGGCGGGCGAACCUGACGUAAUUAGUGAACGAGGGCUAAAGAAAAAGAAGUCAGUAGGUGGAGAUGGGGCACACCUUUAGUCCCAGAACUCGGGAGGCAGAAAGAUCUCUAUUUAUUAUUAUUUUGUCAACAUGUAUGUCUGCACUACGAAAGAGGACACUGGAUCCCAUGAAGCUGCAGUAAUAGACAGUGGUGUCCCUCCCUGAUGAUUGCAUGCCAAGAUGAUCUGGUCUUCCCAUCCGUUGUUGACCAGGAAACACCCAGGCAGAGGACCCAUAUUGUGUAAAGCAGAGCACCUGCAUCCUGUACCUUCUGUACCUGUGCUUACUGAUUCACGGACAGCAUGUGGCUUCAUUCUGAGUUCAGGUACAGAGACAGGAUGACUCUUCUUGUUAUGCGCGUAGACAUCACCACCUUUCUAGCACCAUCUAUGAGGCAGAGGACUCCCAGCUAUCCCAGUGCUUCAGCCAGCUCCAUCCCUAUUGCUGACUCUGCCUACCUGAACCACAGCCUAUCCCUUGAGCAAGUUCUACACCUUGUCUCUGCAGUCAGCUCAGCUCAGAGGCCUGAAUUCAACCCAGGGACCCUGUGGUUUGGCAGAUUCUCCAAGAGGCCAACACCACUCCUUACCUUCUUCCCACACCUCACCAGCGACUCUCUUUGUACCUUUAUCAGCCUAUACCUCUGUCUGUUUUAAAAAGAUGUAUUUUCGAAAGUCUAUACAUGGACUGACCCAGGGCUCCAACUGCAUACAUAGCAGAGAAUAGCCUUGUUGGGGCACCAGUGAAAGGGGAAGACCUUGGUCCUGCCAAGGUUCAACACCCAGUGCAGGGGAAUAUGUGGGGGGCAGUAA
ensembl:lncRNA